UACGGGAGGCAGCAGUGAGGAAUAUUGGUCAAUGGGCGCGAGCCUGAACCAGCCAAGUAGCGUGCAGGAUGACGGCCCUAUGGGUUGUAAACUGCUUUUAUGCGGGGAUAAAGUCGGCUACGUGUAGCCGUUUGCAGGUACCGCAUGAAUAAGGACCGGCUAAUUCCGUGCCUUGCAGCCGC
rnacentral:rRNA from 1 species